UGGGGAAUAUUGGGCAAUGGGCGAAAGCCUGACCCAGCGACGCCGCGUGGGCGAUGAAGGCCUUCGGGUUGUAAACCGCUUUCAGUAGGGACGAAGCGCAAGUGACGGUACCUACAGAAGAAGCACCGGCUAACUACGUGCCAGCAGCCGCGGUGAUACGUAGGGUGCGAGCGUUGUCCGGAAUUAUUGGGCGUAAAGAGCUUGUAGGCGGUUGGUUGCGUCGUAAGUGAAAACUCAGGGCUUAACCCUGGGCUUGCUUGCGAUACGGGCUGACUUGAGGAAGGUAGGGGAGAAUGGAAUUCCCGGUGGAGCGGUGGAAUGCGCAGAUAUCGGGAGGAACACCAGUGGCGAAGGCGGUUCUCUGGACCUUUCCUGACGCUGAGAAGCGAAAGCGUGGGGAGCAAACA
rnacentral:rRNA from 1 species